AUAGUAGCAAAAAGACAGGUCUCGCCUCCAAUCUUACUGUGUCCUUCAAGGUUCUAUACCUCUUUGUAUGUUCUGUAUACUUCACUCUCUACCCAAUGAUCCCCAUAAAUCUCACUCUAUAAGUCUGUUAAACAAAACUUUCUUCAUAGCCGUUAGACUCGGCUGACACAUUAAAACAUUUCUUCUGCUAUUAGUACUCUCUUCUCAGCUCUGCUUUCCUGUUGGCAAACAAGUUCCAUGGCUGGAGAAAGUGGUUAGGACUUGGCAUAUAGAAAUGGAAAUCAACUUGUGUGUGCUUUCAUUGUUAAAGGAGCCCUCUGUUGCCUUGGAAACCACAGUCUGUGUAGAAGAAGUAGUGUAUUUUGUGGGUAGAUGAUUGAACAAUCAGGUAUGCUAUGUGUAAACAUCAUGCAUCUGUGUAAAGAAGCAUUGGCCAAGCUUUGUUGGCAGUAAGACCAGAAUCUGGUUUUGGUAUAAGUCACAUGUCUGCUAAAGUAUAUUUGCAAAAUGUUUCUUGGGCAGAGCAAAUAUUAUAAGGAACAUAACUUUGUGAGUUUUCCUUUGAACCCAUGCCUCACAGAAAGUAUAGCCAAAAGAGGGAAAGUGACUCAAAACCCAAGCCAUAUAUUCAAGCCUUCCAUUCAUCAUUUUCUUUUAUUAGCAGGCCUCCUGGUGGCUUAGAAGAGUCAAAGUACCUCCUUAAGUGCCUUUAUGCAGAGGGGAGCUUAUUCAACUGAUGGCAUCUAACCAGGUAAAAGCAUUUGGUGACCAUUUGUUCAUCAUUUUUUUUAGCUUUGUAAACUCACAGUGACCUCCUUUCUCUCAAAAGAAGUGUGUGUUCUAAAAAUUCUUUUUGCUUUGAUCUAUAUUCGUUCCUAUAUACUCUUACACAAGAACGACUGUAUGUGUGGUUUUUCAAACAGGGAAGAAAGAAGAUAUAUAGGAAGAAGUGAGGCUACUACAAAUGAGUAGGAAGAUUUUUAAAAAUCAUUUCCCUGUUAUUGUACUAACAUCACUCACCUUUCUUUUUUUUUAAACUUCACUCACUUUUGAAUAACUGUAUGUAGACAGAUUUAGCCAGGUUUUUGUUGGUUUGGUUUGGUUCAUCUCCACUAUCAAGGACCUUAAAAAUAAAUCAAAUCAGGGUACCUGGAUGGCUCA
rnacentral:lncRNA from 12 species